rnacentral:siRNA from 1 species
UUACCUCUUUUCUGAUAUCUCU